CCCGGCAGAUUUCGUGGGUUGUUGUUGGGACGGUGAAAGACCCGUUUUGUGACUUUGUGAUUUUGUUUUAUUUUCCUCCCUCCCUUUUUUUUCUACUUGCCGUCUCUCCCUCUCUUGGCAGCGGGACGAAAGUGGGCAGGGAGAGAGAGGAGGGCAUGGCCCACAAACGUCUCCCAAGCCCCAGCCCCUGUUCAAGUGGGGCGGCUCGCUGGUACACCGUUCAGCCUUUCCCUCGUCUUGCAGGCGAAAGAGAGGGAUACGGAAAUCCAUUCUUGUCUCCUUUUCUAAUCUGCAUUUUUUUUGCUCGCUAUUUUUUUUACUCCCCCGCCUCAACCGUGGCCUAAUUCUCUGCGGGUGAACACUCGCCUGACCUGUACAAAAAAAAAAAUCACCUCCAGUUUCGACCGACAACGUUCCACGGCUUCCUGCAAAAGCGUCUGUCCUCAAGGCUGAGGUAGUAGAUUGAAUAGUUGUGGGGUUCGUGUCCUCCCUCUGAGAUAACUAUACAGUCUACUGUCUUUCCUCAGGAGACAGGUUGAUCUGCUGUGAAGAUGUGCUCUCUAUGCACCCGGAAGGCUCCGGGAAUAAAGGAAUUCACAAACAAGACAUAACCCAUCCCCUAUAGUUUAAAAAUCUGGUUAUUGGUUAUGAUGUUGUAAUCAUCUUUCUUAAGGAGACAACAAAAUAGCAUUUUUAUAAGUAAAAGCUCACCACUCAGGAGAAGACUGUGGACAUAACAACAACUUCAUAUACUUACGAGACACAACGAUGGAACUGGUCUAUUCUAACAACAUGUACUGAAGUUACAUAUUUCAUUGUUUUUAGGCCAUUUAUUGGUGGCUGAAGUUGAGCCUAGCAAGGUGAGGUAGUAGGUUGUAUAGUUUGUGGGAUCGAGUAAAUCCUACUCAGGUGAUAACUACACAGCCAAUUACCUUCCUUGAGAGGUACAAUGAGUGCUUGGAAUGAAGCUCACUCACACUGAAUGCGUCGGAGCCACUCGGGUGCCAUCUUGUGGCCAAAGAGGACAAAGUUCAAAAGAAGAAGAUCUCAGAUGUUAAUUCGAUAUGCAUUAUGAUGUGUGGAAAGGGUGAAACUAAUUUAAAUCUGGGUGAGCCGGAGAACCACUGGUCAUGCUUUGUUUUCACUAAAAGGCUUGUCCAGGA